GAUGGCGACCGGCGCACGGGUGAGUAACGCGUAUGCAACCUGCCUGAUACCGGGGUAUAGCCCAUGGAAACGUGGAUUAACACCCCAUAGUACUUUUAUCCUGCAUGGGAUGUGAGUUAAAUGUUUAAGGUAUCGGAUGGGCAUGCGUCCUAUUAGUUAGUUGGCGGGGUAACAGCCCACCAAGACGAUGAUAGGUAGGGGUUCUGAGAGGAAGGUCCCCCACAUAGGAACUGAGACACGGUCCUAACUCC
rnacentral:rRNA from 1 species